CGUUAUUUAAAGUCACCAACUGACCUUCAGUUACUCUGCGAGCAGCGAGAGACGGAGAGAGACGUGCUGUGAGCUUUGAGCUGAGAAACCAGAACGUUUACCAGACCCACACAAAAGUCUCACUAGAGACUUCUACAGAACCAGGACCAGAACCAGGACCAGGACCAGAACCAGAACCAGAACCAGAACCAGGACCAAACAGAGACAGACUUCAGCCCAGAGAAGAAGUAAGGACCAGGAGGAGACCAUGGGUCCUCGCAUGCCAGACGGAUUUUUUUCUGGCAGGGAAGAACCUCUGGAUUGGGUCCUAGGCUGGGGAGAACCUGAAGAACCAGAAGAACCCGAAGAACCAGAAGAACCAGAAGAACCAGAAGACCCAGAAGAACCCGAAGAACCAGAAGAACCUGAAGAGGACCUUCCUGAGGGAACUGUGUAUUACAUUUAUGAGGUGACUCCUGGCUGGGGGACCCCUGAGGAUGAAGGUGAGUAUUCUCAGGAGUCACCACUUGAACUCAUUGUCUUCAGGGAGAGCUGUUACCAUAGUGAUUCUACAGCCAGGUACGUAGACAGUUUUGAGGAACCUUCAUCGUCCGACUCUGACUGUCAGUGUGAGCCUGAGAGGAAGAGGCUGAGACGGGACGACAGCUCUGACUCAUCUUAGAGUCAUCUGUUCUUUUCCUUUUCCUGCUCCUCUCCAUAUGAGCAGAGUUUCCUGUGUGUACCCGGUUUCCACAGCUGGUCCUUGCGUCUGGCGGGAUUAACUCAGCCUUUGGUUACAUUGACACCAACCAGGGCUGGCCAUUUGUGUGUCCAGUGCGUCUUGCACCUGGGCCUUUUUGUAAAUAGUUGUUUUUGGUAAGUUUUCCUUUGCGUCUUGCGAUGGCGGCUGAUGUCCCAGGCAGCGUCUGGUACCAGGACUUUUUUAGAUGGUAAGGAUUUUAUUUUGUUUCUUUAUGACAGGCAACAGCAGGAGUGGUUGUCCUGUUACUGUUGUAAAACAUGAAUAAUAUAUAAGGUUUACUUAGGUUAGAGUUUAGAAUUAGAGAAAACCUUUUUAAUCCCAGCAAGUGAGGACAGGAGGAGACAUCAGCAGAGGGCAGAGACCAAAGAAGACUUCUCCAUCAACCAAAACAAUGUAAGCAAAAACACUGAACACACAUUUAAUGUAAAAAUAAACUUUACUUUUUUUAAAAUGUCUGUAAAAUG
rnacentral:lncRNA from 1 species